rnacentral:lncRNA from 1 species
UAUCAAAAGUCCUAUACCCGGGCUGAGUGAACUUAUGUUUAGGUAGAGAUAUAAUCGACAAUUCGAUCCGGGGGUUGCCUCGUGUAUUGGAUUAUGCGAUCAAUCUCACAUAGCUGAGGCAUUUUGAAGGUGAUAUUGUCGGCGUGUGUUGUCAUGCUUAGGCACUUCACUUUCAAUUGUUCGACGAAGCUAUGAACCGUAGUUACCAAACCCAUCCUAGCCUUUUUAGGACGUAGUGCGGUGGCUAAAUUGAGUGUUGUCUCAAACUUUAGUCGUCACGCGAUACUACACUCAAACUAGACCUUCUCACAAAUAAUCAUGGAACGGGUGUCGUCCUGUACUAC